rnacentral:rRNA from 1 species
AAGUCCCGCAACGAGCGCAACCCUUGAUCUUAGUUGCCAGCAUUCAGUUGGGCACUCUAAGGUGACUGCCGGUGACAAACCGGAGGAAGGUGGGGAUGACGUCAAAUCAUCAUGCCCCUUAUGACCUGGGCUACACACGUGCUACAAUGGACAGAACAAAGGGCUGCGAGACCGCAAGGUUUAGCCAAUCCCACAAAUCUGUUCUCAGUUCGGAUCGCAGUCUGCAACUCGACUGCGUGAAGCUGGAAUCGCUAGUAAUCGCGGAUCAGCAUGCCGCGGUGAAUACGUUCCCGGGCCUUGUACACACCGCCCAUCACACCACGAGAGUUUGCAACACCCGAAGUCGGUGAG